GGGUGAAUUGGGUCUUAUAAAACUUUUAAGCUACUUCUAACACUUUUCAAUUAAUUAUGCUAAGUUGUAUAGUUGCACAGUGGAAUUUAAACUUAGCAAUAGGUUGAUUUAUCGAAUGAGACUUGAUUAAGUAAAUUGAAUAUGCUUGCAACUAAAGGAUGCGCGGAUAAGAGUUAAGCAUGCAAUUUAUCUAGGUAAGUAAGUGAGCAAGAUAGACAAUGACAAAAAGCAUCACAAACACNN
rnacentral:lncRNA from 1 species